UACGAGAGGGGUAAGCAUUAUUCAUCAUUAAUGGGUCUAAAGGGUACGUAGGCUGUAUCAUAAGACUGAAAGGUAUCGAACUAAAUGAAUAAGAGCUUUUCAGUAACUAUGAAACUAGAGUGUAAUGGAGGAAAGAGGAACUCCGAGAGUAGGGAUGGAAUCUGUUGAUCCUCGGAAGACCGCUUAAGGCGAAGGCUUCUCUCUAACUAAACACUGACGCUGAGGUACGAAAGUAUGGGGAGCAAAACGG
rnacentral:rRNA from 1 species